rnacentral:tRNA from 1 species
GCGGGUAUGGCGGAAUUGGUAGACGCGUUGGUCUUAGGAACCAAUGGAGUGAUUCGUGGGGGUUCAAGUCCCUCUACCCGUACCA